GCCGGCGGUGACGAGAGAGUGCGCGUGCGCAGUGUGUUUUCGCUGUAAUUCUGGGCCGUGUUCCGGAAGCCGCGUAAGACAAAAGCGAACGAGAGGCGGAAAAAAGGAAGACGAUUCCUGAAGAAAAGGAAUCUGGCAACAAGGUACUGGAUGGAUUAAAGAGAACUUGUGGCUGGGGAUGUAAACCAAGGGACUAUUGUGAUAGUCUUGACAGGAAGUAAUACAAAUCUAAACCAGGAUGCUGAUAGGAAACUUGAAUGAAGGAGAGGGACACAAAAGAGGCAGAAAAGCAAGAAUCAAAAAUACUUCAUGCCAGACUGAAUACUGAAAGUGGUAACAAAAGAACAACAAUGCCUUGGAUUCCCAGGUGCCUCCAGAGUAUUGGUGACAUUUAUGAAAAAUGGGAAAGUUUGGAGAAAGAAAAUCCAGGUUUGGGGAAAAAUGGCUAGAUCUGAUGUGUUAAAUUGAGGUUUUAUUUAAAUUAUGAAUGAGCAAA